rnacentral:rRNA from 1 species
GUGGGGAAUCUUGCGCAAUGGGCGAAAGCCUGACGCAGCCAUGCCGCGUGAAUGAUGAAGGUCUUAGGAUUGUAAAAUUCUUUCACCGGGGACGAUAAUGACGGUACCCGGAGAAGAAGCCCCGGCUAACUUCGUGCCAGCAGCCGCGGUAAUACGAAGGGGGCUAGCGUUGCUCGGAAUUACUGGGCGUAAAGGGCGCGUAGGCGGCCAGUUUAGUCAGAGGUGAAAGCCCAGGGCUCAACCUUGGAAUUGCCUUUGAUACUGGCGGGCUUGAGUACGGGAGAGGUGAGUGGAACUCCGAGUGUAGAGGUGAAAUUCGUAGAUAUUCGGAAGAACACCAGUGGCGAAGGCGACUCACUGGCCCGUUACUGACGCUGAGGCGCGAAAGCGUGGGGAGCAAACAGGAUUAGAAACCCCAGUAGUCC